AGGGGCAGAACAUGGUGUGCGGCGGCAUGGGCUGCAACAAUGAUUCCCUGGUGCAGCAGAUAUUUAACGCGGCGCAGCUGGACAACUAGUCAGUACCACCUUGUCUUGUACUUCAGAAGCAGUGGAGGAGGCUCUCAGCCAGGCAGUCAGCUCAGGCCUGAAAUGUCUCACUGAAAAUAGACUUUCUUGGAAAAGUUGUUUUUAUGCAAAAUGUAUGUUAAAUCUGGCUUUACCUUAACAAAACCUUUGAAAGGACUAAUUUACCACCUAAUACUUUGAAGGCUUUUUUCAUUAAGUGCUCAUGUAGUUUUUCUUUUGACUGUUAGCAGUAUAAAAUGUAGAAAAGGAAGUUAGGUUUUAAGAAAAAGUACUGAAACUAAAGACUUCCUCCCUGUGGAGCAGGUCAGUAACCCUGUCUGUCCUCUCUAGUACCCGAAUAGGCUUCGCCCCCUCGUCCUGGAUCGACGAUUAUUUCGACUGGGUGAAGCCACAGUCGUCUUGCUGUCGAGUGGACAAUAUCACUGACCAGUUCUGCAAUGCUUCAGUGGUUGACCCUGCCUGCGUCCGCUGCAGGCCUCUGACUCCGGAAGGCAAACAGAGGCCUCAGGGGGGAGACUUCAUGAGAUUCCUGCCCAUGUUCCUUUCGGAUAACCCUAACCCCAAGUGUGGCAAAGGGGGACAUGCUGCCUAUAGUUCUGCAGUUAACAUCCUUGGCAAUGGCACCAGGGUCGGAGCCACGUACUUCAUGACCUACCACACCGUGCUGCAGACCUCUGCUGACUUUAUUGACGCUCUGAAGAAAGCCCG
rnacentral:sRNA from 1 species